CAUUGUGAAGCUUUAAGCGUUAACCUUUUAAGUUAAAGACAGAGAAAAAAUUAUUCUCCACAAUGA
rnacentral:tRNA from 1 species